rnacentral:rRNA from 1 species
CCUACGGGUGGCAGCAGUGAGGAAUAUUGGUCAAUGGGCGCAAGCCUGAACCAGCCAAGUCGCGUGAAGGAUGACGGCCCUAUGGGUUGUAAACUUCUUUUGUAUGAGGGUAAAACUGAAUAUGUGUACCCUCUUGUAUGUACCAUAUGAAUAAGGAUCGGCUAACUCCGUGCCAGCAGCCGCGGUAAUACGGAGGAUCCGAGCGUUAUCCGGAUUUAUUGGGUUUAAAGGGUGCGUAGGUGGAUUGUUAAGUCAGUUGUGAAAGGUUGGGGCUUAACCGUAAAAUUGCCUUUGAUACUGGUGGUCUAGAGUAUAUUUGAGGUAGGCGGAAUGUGUGGUGUAGCGGUGAAAUGCUUAGAGAUCAUGCAGAACUCCGAUUGCGAAGGCAGCUUACCAAACUAUAACUGACAUUGAGGCACGAAAGCGUGGGGAGCAAACAGGAUUAGAUACCCGGGUAGUC